UACACCAAAUCAGAUGCUUUGAUUAUGCAAUUGGUUGUGUUACCAAUGAAAGAAAAUGAAGGAGGAAAAAAAUGAGAAAGGGAAGGAGGAAAAGACAACAGUGAAAGGCCUGGCUUCAACCUAGAUAGUUUGUUUCUUUUGUUUCUUAUAAUGAUUAUUUGUCAUUUAGCAUUUCUUGGUUAUUCCCUUCUUCAAUUUUUUGCAAUAUUCAAAUAGUGAAGAAUUAUCAAAGCUUGUCUGUAGAAACUUGAAAUCACCAAGGAUGGAUAAAUAUGAAGAUGAAUAAAAAAGGAAAUUACUGGGAAGGAAAUGAAACAAAAAAAGGAUGAAAAAUCUAAAGAUGCUAUUUCUUAUUCUCAUCUUAAUAGCAGGAUACAGCUGAAUAAUAACAUUAUCUAUUGGAGGUCAGUGAGAUGGAGGGAUGGAAAUCCAUUUUGAAAACUUUAAUGUGUAGAAAGUCAGUACAUCAUUUUCACAAGCGAUAUCCUAAACAGAAAGCUUUUUUAGCACAAUCAUAUAAAGAAAACUGCAUUUUUAUAGUAGCUAAAAGAUGCAAACUUAUUGCAAAAAUAAAACUUCCAUUUUCUUUUAUUACCAUUAA